rnacentral:rRNA from 1 species
GUGGGGAAUAUUGGACAAUGGGCGAAAGCCUGAUCCAGCCAUGCCGCGUGAGUGAUGAAGGCCUUAGGGUUGUAAAGCUCUUUCAGUAGGGAAGAUAAUGACGGUACCCCCAGAAGAAGCCCCGGCUAACUCCGUGCCAGCAGCCGCGGUAAUACGGAGGGGGCUAGCGUUGUUCGGAAUUACUGGGCGUAAAGCGCACGUAGGCGGACCAGAAAGUCAGGGGUGAAAUCCCGGGGCUCAACCCCGGAACUGCCUUUGAAACUCCUGGUCUUGAGGUCGAGAGAGGUGAGUGGAAUUCCGAGUGUAGAGGUGAAAUUCGUAGAUAUUCGGAGGAACACCAGUGGCGAAGGCGGCUCACUGGCUCGAUACUGACGCUGAGGUGCGAAAGCGUGGGGAGCAAACAGGAUUAGAAACCCUAGUAGUCC